GCCUCAGCCCUCUAAACGAUACCUUGUUUGGGGCAGCUUCGUGACUGGAUGGGAGACCGCCUGGGAAUACCAGGUGCUGUAGGCU
rnacentral:rRNA from 1 species